GAGGUACUCCCUCCGGCCGGAAUUACUUGUCGAAACAUUACAUGUAUCUAGACACUUUUUACAAAUAGAUACAUCCGUAUUUGAGCAAAUUUGAGACAAGUAAUACCGGUCGGAGGGAGUAGGAU
rfam:Brachypodium distachyon strain Bd21 chromosome 1, whole genome shotgun sequence.